GAUGAACGCUGGCGGCGUGCCUAAUACAUGCAAGUCGAGCGAACAGACGAGGAGCUUGCUCCUCUGACGUUAGCGGCGGACGGGUGAGUAACACGUGGAUAACCUACCUAUAAGACUGGGAUAACUUCGGGAAACCGGAGCUAAUACCGGAUAAUAUAUUGAACCGCAUGGUUCAAUAGUGAAAGACGGUUUUGCUGUCACUUAUAGAUGGAUCCGCGCCGCAUUAGCUAGUUGGUAAGGUAACGGCUUACCAAGGCAACGAUGCGUAGCCGACCUGAGAGGGUGAUCGGCCACACUGGAACUGAGACACGGUCCAGACUCCUACGGGAGGCAGCAGUAGGGAAUCUUCCGCCAUGGGCGAAAGCCUGACGGAGCAACGCCGCGUGAGUGAUGAAGGUCUUCGGAUCGUAAAACUCUGUUAUUAGGGAAGAACAAAUGUGUAAGUAACUAUGCACGUCUUGACGGUACCUAAUCAGAAAGUCACGGCUAACUACGUG
rnacentral:rRNA from 1 species